CCCGGUGAUAUUUAAACGGCCGCAGUUAGGAGCUGUGCUAAGGUAGCGUAGUAAGUUGUCCUUUAAAUGGGGAAAGGAAUGAAUGGUUUGACGUGGGAAGAUCUGUCUCUGGAAAAAAUUAAAAAGUUUUCUUCCUGGUGAAAAGCCCGGGAUAGUAAUAAAAGACGAGAAGACCCUUUCGAGCUUGAUAAAGCGUUUUAAUUUUAAGAGGUUAAAGUUUGGUUGGGGCAACUUAGGAGCAAAAAUAGACUCCUAGAAGAUAAUGAGGAUCCAAAUAUUUUGAUAAAAAGAAAAAGCUACCGUAGGGAUAACAGCGUUAUCUUCUCUGAGAGAACAAAUUGAAGAGAGG
rnacentral:rRNA from 1 species